UAGGCAACUUUUUGCCGAGUGAAUCGAACAUCGAUAUCUCUCUUUUUCCCAGUUGCCUAAAUCCAUGUAAUUGGCUGCGUGAGGAAUUUUUUUGAUCUGUUAUUUAAUUCUCGAUAUAACCGAUCUUUUCCUCUUUGCUGCUACAUUU
rfam:Arabidopsis lyrata subsp. lyrata unplaced genomic scaffold ARALYscaffold_6, whole genome shotgun sequence.